rnacentral:rRNA from 1 species
UACGUAGGGUGCGAGCGUUGCCCGGAUUUAUUGGGCGUAAAGGGCGCGUAGGCGGCCACGCACGUCCGUUGUGAAAUCGCCCGGCUCAACUGGGCGGGGUCAGCGGAUACGGUGUGGCUCGAGCAAGCUAGGGGGCAAUGGAAUUCCCGGUGUAGUGGUGGAAUGCGUAGAUAUCGGGAGGAACACCAGUGGCGAAGGCGGUUGCCUGGAGCUUUGCUGACGCUGAGGCGCGAAGGCCAGGGGAGCAAACGGG